CCAAGUCAUUUUUGUGAAAACACAAGUUGGUUCCUAUAUGGUUGAUCUCAAGGCAGGGCGAGCCAGGAAGGUGUCUCGCCUUGGCAGAAAAAUCUUUCCCUACAUGAGCUUCUACAUCCCAGGUACUAUUUAAUUUUGUGCAUACAUAUAAAUCAUGUACAAUUCCUUGUUACGAUCUUUCAGUGAAAUGAAAAGUAACUUUAGACAUGACGACAUAACGUCUGAAUUUACCUGUCGAGGAAAACAUACAUACAGUUGAGCCUGAUUCGUCAAUCAAUUGAGUUUAUGUUAUGAUUUUCUUGCAUUUCUGCAGCAAUGGAAGCAGCCUGUAGUACUGUCCAGGGGCAGUGAGCUGGGGCUUCAACUGUUUGCCAAGCUCUAGUUGCUGGAGCAAGCACUUCUGGAUCAAGAGAAGGCGGUUGCAGUGAUGUGGCCCAAGUGCAGCUAGCUCUGGACCUCUUGGAACUUUGUUUAGGAAGUUGCUAUUCUGUAGACUGCAGUAAUUAUCUAGGCUGGGUUAAGGACCAUUACUUAGCAUGUGGUGUGGAACUUAAUUUAGGAAGUUGCUUACAAUACUUUUCAGUCGCUCUGUCAUCUUGAGAAUGAUGGCACGAGCAUGUCAAGGAGCUCAACAAGCUGCAUACAGUACUUCUCAAGACUUGUAGGCUGAAUUAAUCCACAAUACAUAUGAUGAACAGACGAUGCAGUUUCUGAAUGCACAAUACGAUUGACUGGUAGUAAC
rnacentral:lncRNA from 1 species